GACACAAAACCCGGAAGGACCCCGCCGAAGGUUUUCUCCGGUUCGGGAGAGAGACGGAGUCCCGCUCUGUCACGCAGGCUGCCAGGCUGGCGUACAGUGGCGCAAUCUCAGCUCGCUGCAACCUCCACCUCCUGGGUUCAAGCGAUUUUCUUGCCUCUGCCUCCUGAGUAGCUGGGAUUACUGGCACACACCACCAUGCACAGGGAGAUAUGAGACAUCAAUCAAUAUAUGUAAGAUGUACAUCAGUUUCGUCUGGAAAGAUGGGACAACAUGAAGCAGGGAGGGGGCUCCCUGGUGACAGUUCCUUGUUCAAAAUGCCAAGAACCUGGAUGACUCAUAGUCAAGACCCUCCACCAGUAACAUAUAUUGGCGAGCCAGCCAGGAGCUUGGAACCCUCGGUGGACAGUGCCUAAGCACAGAGGCAACCACAGGUUUCUAACAGGGCCACUCUCUGGUGAAACUGAAAGGUUUCUGUGUGAAAGUGCCUGACCACCACUGCCCAAUUCAGACCACUACAGGAAACACUCCAUUUAUUCCACCUGACUUCCCACUUGGCUGCAUCCUCAACCAUUGAAAUGAAUUUGACCCUGAUAAUCUAAGGAGGAAACAUUUGAUAUUCUUUUGCAAUAAUACUUGGCCCCAGUAUUGUUUGGAAUCUGGAGUUUGCUGUUGAAUGGGAAAGCAGGAUGACGUUGCAUGUAUCCAGGCUUUGGUGCUGCUGUCCUAAGAAGGGUCAGGCCUAGUCAGCAUAUGGUGCUCUCCUUUGGUGCUAUUUGGCUCCAGUGUCUUUGGAGUCUGAGGAGGUUUGGCCUUUAAAAAUCAAACUGCCACCGGAACUGCUUUAAAAAUGUUUGGUUCACAGCCUUCACUGGAUUACCUAUUGGAGCAAACAAAGUGUAACCAUGUAAAACCUGUGAGCUUGUAUUGAUAUCUCAUGGCUAGAGUUCCAAGUUGCAGGAAUUUAGCCAAUUCAGAGGUCUUGUUCUCCAUAAUUUGGAAUUUUCCUUCGGAUUUGAUCAAGUUGGAUAGAGUUGGUCAAACCCAAUGGGAAAAAGAUGAAAACAACAAGAAACAGAAACAAACAGCAACAACAACAACAACAAAAACAGUUAAGUGAAACAAACAAACAAUCACACAAUUUAUGUGGUCACUGAGUGCUCUAAUAGUAAGGAGAAAUUAAGACCAGCUGGCUGUUAGUCUUAACUCUAGCCAAGACAAAACUCCAAUUCAGCUACUUACCUAGUAAUGAGUCUCAGGCUGAAGUCUGCUCUCUCCCAUCCUAGAAGCAGGAAAAAACUGAAACUCAUCUUCCCUGCUGGAAACGAGCUCAAACUCCAGAAAGGAGUUACCUGCCUUCCAUCAUCAUGGACGCAGGAAAAUUUGCCUUCCUUGUUGGAAGCAAGUAAAACUCCAAAAAAGGAGUUGCACAGCAAAAUAAACUUCAGAUCUCAACAAAUUUGGGGAGAUCAGGGAUUCUCUGGGGGUGGGGUGGCUCCCAGGCCUCAGCCAAUUGUCCUAUUGGUUUCAGCCAUAAAGACAGCUCAGGCUGCUACCACGCACUGAUAGGAGAUUUGUCAAAGAUCGAGGCAUCUUCACUCAGAAUCCCUCUGUGAUUACCAAUUGUGAACACAAAAUAUCUGAUAUGGGUCUCAGUCAAUUUAGAAAGUUUAUUUUGCCAAGGUUAAGGACACAUCCAUGACAUAGCCUCAGGAGGUUCUGUUGACGUGUGCAAGGUGGUUGGGGCACAGCUUGGUUUUACACAUUUUAGGGAGACAUGAGAUAUCAAUCAAUAUAUGUUAAGACAUAUAUCAGGUGGUCCAAAAAGGUGGGAUGACUGGAAACAGGGAGGGGGCUUCCAGGUGAUAGGUAGAUAAGAGAAAAACAGUUGCAUUCUUUUGAGUUUCUAAUAAGCCUUUCACUGAAUACACAAUUUACAGGACUAAUCACUUAAGCCUUAGCCUGGCUCAGUGAAACAACAGGGCAAAGGAAGCAAUCAGCUAUGCAUUUGUCUCACGUGAGCAGAGGGAUGACUUUGAGUUCUGUCUAGCUAUCUUGUUUAGGAAUAUAAUGAGAGGCAGGUUUGCGUGCAGUUUCCAGAUUGACUUUUCCCUUUGGCUUAGUGACUUUGAGGUCCCAAGAUUUAUUUUCCUUUAACAUUUACAAGGAGAAGUGAAGAAAUAAGUAAAUUAGAGAGCUAGAAGGAUGGAAGUUUACAGUUAGAGAGAGUGGGAUGUUGAAGGUAAUACUGGUUGCAUAUUUCUUAUCCAAAAUGCUUGGGACCAGAAGUGUUUCAGAUUUCAGAUGUUUUCAGAUUUUGGAAUAUUUGCAUUAUACAGGUUCAGCACCCCUAAUCUGAAAACGUGAAAUCCAAAAUUCUCCAAUGAUUGUUUCCUUUGAGCAUCACAAUGGUGCUCAAAAGGUUUUGGAUUUUAGAGCAUUUCAAAUUUCAGAUUUUCAGAUUAGGGAUAAUAAACCUAUAUCUCAGAAACGGUACAUUUCUGAAUAAUGACAAAUUGUCAUUAUUUGCCAUGAGAAUUGUCAUUAAUGUGGGUGGAGAUGGGGAUGAUUGUAGGUCAAGAGACUGAAGCAAUAGGGUAGGCUUGGGUGUUAGUACGGCCCUUCAUGGGAAUGUGUUGAUGUCAUCCAGGGUCACGGGAGGCUUCUGAGUGGGAAGGAAGCUGAGAGCCUAUGAUUACGGUCUUCACUGAUGAAGGCAGACAGUAGGAGGUUGGCAGAUGGUGGGCACUGACUAGACUGGAAGUGCCAAGAACUUCAGUGGAGCAAGGUUUUACCCAAGACACAGAGGUUGUGGUCUAGAGCAGCCCAGGGAUGAAGGAUCACCCAUUGGAGAGGACUGUGGGGAAAGCAGAGUCCUGGGAGAUGAACCAAGCAUCAGUUGAGGCUGGAACAGUUAAAAUGUAUACAUCAAAUUCUCUCCAAGGACACUGUACCCUUGGCUGAAAAUUCCCUCCUUAGUCUACUUCCCAUCCCAAAUUCUACCCAUCCACACUGUGGCAUCCUAGGUCUCUCUAGCAGCUGAACAGGCAGGCCUCUGUAACAACUGUUUCAGCGCUGACUGAGUGGUUAAGUUAAAUAUUAAAAGUUGAAAGAGCCAGUAACCUUAUACAAAGGCUGGAAUAGAACAAAAGCCCACCACAAGUUUUUGCCUAAGUCUUUCCUGUGCCUUGAACCAUGACAAGAGGAGGAAGGAAUUCUUAACCAGACCCAUUUAGGAUUAAGUAAGUUUUUAUUGGCUGGGUACGGUGGCUCACACCUAUAAUCUCAGCACUUUGGGAGGCUGAGGCAGGCAGAUCACCUGAGGUCAGGAGUUUGAGACCAGCCUCCUGGCCAACAUGGUGAAACUCUGUCUCUACUAAAAGUACCAAAAUGAGCCAAGCAUGGUGGCGGGAGCCUGUAGUCCCAACUACUCAGGAGGCUGGGGCAGGAGAAUCGCUUGAACCCAGAAAGCGGAGGUUGCAGUGACCUGGGAUCACACCACUGCACUUCAGCCUGGGCAACAGAGUGAGACUCCAUCUCAAAAAAAAAAAAAAAGAAAAGAAAAGUUUUUACUGGGGGUCUGAAGACACAAGUUUUAUUGGAGGUCUAAAUGAACUCCUCAAACCUCCGUGAUUUAGCAGGAGAUGUGAUAAGGGUAAUCACCCCAGCACUUGGACCCAUCUAGAUUCAAUACAUUUACUGAGGCUCCAGAAGAAGGUCUUCACACCUUAGUUAUGGAUUAGAAGAAGUUAAUCACUUACGUCUUUAGAUGAAUGCACACUUACAUGUAGACAUAUGGCUUAGAAGGUAUAUAAACCCUGGAAAGCUUUGUAAUUUUGAGUUAGUCUGGUGAUAUAUUCCAGGCCUUCUCCCUGUACCCGGUUACAAAAAUAAACUUCCUUCCUUCCCAGUUCAACUGCAUCUUGUUAUUGGGCCGCGAGAAUCAGCAGCCUGACCCUCGGCUUGGACCAGGAACAACAUGGUCUGAGAGAGCUCAUCCCAUGUUCCAAAGGGAGAUUAAAUGACAAAUUAAGAUACCCCAAUAAUAAAAUGCCAACAAUAAGAUGCCCUACAGUGUAAUAGAAACAAUGUACCAUUAUGAAAUUCCCAGUAGGAAAUGAAAGCUCAAAGACUAAAUUCACUUGCCAUUUCAAGAUAAAAAGAAAAUUUCAGGUCCAAACUUUUUUCCUGCCUCAAUUUCAUAUUCUGAUCAGGCUCAGCCAGAGGAUGUCUCAGUAUUUAGACAGAGUGGAGGUUCCUGCGGCACCAUCCUGGAGAGGUGUAACAUUCUUUGGGUGGAAAAGGUGAACUCUGCUCUCAUAUGCUAUCUACUUAAAGAGUCUGGAAUUAAUAGGGCACCAAAGAUGAUCACAGCUCUGUCUCCACAUCCACCAAAUUUAGAAACCAAAUCUGAUAACUAAGUCAUUUAUCAGAGACUCAGUGGUACCCAAGUGAGGAAGGGCCACUGGAGACAAUCUUGUUUUUUUCACCGGGGCUGGAGUGCAGUGGCGCGAUCUCGGCUCACUGCAAGCCCCGCCUCCCGGGUUCACGCCAUUCUCCUGCCUCAGCCUCCCGAGUAGCCCGGACUAUAGGGGCCUGCCACCAUGUCCAGCUAAUUUUUUGUAUUUUUAGUAGAGACGAGGUUUCACCGUGUUAGCCAGGAUGGUCUCGAUUUCCUGACUUCAUGAUCCACCUGCCUCGGCCUCCCAAAGUGCUGGGAUUACAGGCUUUAGCUACGGCGCCCGGCCAUUCCCCUCCCUUUUCUGCUAGGCUCACUGAACUAUUAACGAGCAAAAAGUAAACUUCCCUUUUCUUUGAGUUAUUAUACAUUUGGGGUCUAUUUGUUAGAGCAAUGCGCUUGCCCUACUAUACUCUCCCUGGGCCUUGUAUGAUGAAAUUGGUAACAGCCACAAAAACUGCAUCUGGGACACAGAAGGUGGUAGAGGGGAAAAUAAUCUGACUGACAAAGAUUCUGUUUAUAGGUGACUUUUUAGGAUUGUGGAGUUAGGCAAAGCUGGGAUCACUCACACAGCCUGAUAGGGGAUUUUCCUACGUGGGUGGGCUGACCUGGUGGUCCUGGUUACACUGCCCACCAGCCUUCUGGUGUCUCUACUAGGAGUAAGGUGCCUUCUCUUUCUCCUCCAGGACCCCACACCUCCAGACCCUGCUGAGGGAGGGCCACCCAUUUCUAGUCCCAGCUCCUACUCUAACUAUCUGUGUGACCUUAAACAAGGCCUUUCCCCUCUCUGGCCUCAGUAUCCGCCUCUGAAUAAUGGGGCUGGGCCUGCCGACCUUCUGGCCCUUUUCUGCUCUGUGAGUUUGUGAACUUGUGAUAGGGAGACAGGAGUCCUAGGAAGGAAAUGGAACUGGUGAUAGGGAGACAAGAGUCCUAGGAAGGAAAUGGAACUUGUGAUAGGGAGACAAGAGUCCUAGGAAAUGGAAGGAGAGCACGUUUCACUCUGUCCAGCAGAGGGCAGCAGCUACCCACAAAUCAACAGCUGAGCAAGGCCAGGGCUGUGUGGGAGCUAUGCACAGGUUCUGCCUCCAGAAGCCUUCAGUGCCUGCCUCUGAGCCAGAGGGUUCCAAGCAGAAGAGGUCCCGCCCCCGGAGAGGGACCUCAGAGAGGUCCUCCAAGCCCCUCUCAGCUCUUACUUACGGCAUCCCAGAUGCCCUAUUCCUCUUCUGCAGAGAGAAGGUGGUUCAGCCACUAAAUGGUGCUGGGACCUCGCAGUUUGGUGGGAAGGAGGAAGCUUACUCAAGCAAGGAAUAUGAGACAGGCAAAAACCCACGCAUAAGCCAAAAGCCCCUCCAAAGCGAGGUGUUGUUCCAGGCUGACAAGUGUCCAGCAGGGUGGACUUCAGACUCCCUGUUAGGAACUGAAUUGUGUCCCCCAAAAAGAGAAAGUCACCCCAGGGUAUGACCUAAUUCAGGAAAGGUCAUUGCAGAUGCAUUUAAUUAAAUGAAGAUGAGCUCAUGCUGGAGUAGGGUGGACUCUGAACCCAGUGGGACAAGCGUCCUUAUUAAGAAGAGGGAAAUCUGGACACACACAGAGCAGAGACCGCCGUGUGAAGAUGGAGGCAGAGAUCGGAGAGAUGCUGCCACACGCCACAAAUGCCUGGGGCUCCCAGAAACUACACGGAGCCUCCCCCAGCGGCUUCAGCAGGAGCAUGGCUCGGCCAACACUUUGAUCUUGGUCUUCCAGCCUCCAGAACGUUUUCCUAAAAUUCCCUUUUCCACUGGUGUGUGGUGCAAGAUGAGGCACAUUUUCCAUGGAUGGUGAACAGAGGGAGGAGCCUUUUGAUCACAACCAGGUCACCCCACUUCUAAGCCACUGUGCCUCCAGCCCCACAAGACUAAGGAGAGAGAGCGCAGCGUGGUGGAGAGUGAGCUGUGCUGGGACCAUUGUUUCCGUAACCUCGUUUUCUGUGUCCAGCUGACACACCUUCAAAGUGGCAUCAGGUCCUAAACUGUAGCUUGCAAUGUGCCUGUUUCCAGAAACCAAGGUGAAAGUGCUUUUAGACAGUGUUCCCAUGCAAGAGUCCCUUCCCAGCUUUUUUCUGGAAAUGCAUGUUUCUCUGAACUCUGAGUCCCAAGAAAAAUCACUUGAGACACCAAGAAAAUGGGGGAAGUGCUAAAAUUGUGUGGGAAUUCAAGCUUAACAAUAAACAUCAAGACAUUUUUGAUAAAAAUGAAUCCACUGACAUCGGGGAGGAGCAAGAGAACAGCACGCUGACACUGGGUCAGAGGCUAAGACCGACAUUUCUGGGAACCACUCCCGGAAGGGCACAGAGGAGACGCUUUCAGCCUCUCAUCAGCCAGCCUGGCCUGUAGCUGCUGCACGUUAUGAGUGUGUUCCUGGCAUGACUGCUUCUAACAGUGAGUUUUCUGGCAAAUCAAAUAAAUACUAAUAAGUCUGUAUGCACAUUAUACUUUAUACAAAUCCUAUGAGUGAUGUUCCAGAAAUAACAAGUUUUGAAGGCAAAAUAAGUCCUUAAAUUGGCAACUUUGACACAUAAUUCCAUGUAGUAGUUAAUCUUGCUAGAAGAUCCCAAUGUUGUUAUUCUAAUACAAUCUGAUAAUGUUCACUGGCAUUUUCCACUGUUGGCAUCUUUACUAUAGCCUACAGUUGUUUGUUUGUUUAUUUGAGAUGGAGUCUUGCUCUGUUGCCUAGGCUAGAGUGCAGUGGCGUGAUCUUGGCUCACUGCAACCUCCCCCUCCCAGGUUCAAGCAGUUCUCCUGCCUCGGCCUCCCUAGAAGCUGGGAUUACAGGCACGUGCUACCACGCCCAGCUAAUUUUUGUAUUUUUGGUAGAGACGUGGUUUCAUCAUAUUGGCCAGGCUGGUCUUGAACUCCUGACCUCAGGUGAUCAGCCUGUCUCGGCCUCCCACACACAGUGCUGGGGUUACAGGUGUGAGCCACGAUUCCUGGCUGCCUACAGUUCUUUGUAAAGCAGACAAAAUAGUUUCAUUUUUUAAAGAAAUGAACAUAUAUGAGGCAACCUGUACCUAACUUAGGAGUUCAGAAAUUCCCUGGACUGCCUAUACAUUUUGGUUUCUCAUUCCUAAUUCCCAAAGAUUAAAAUCUGUCAGGAAUUUGGAAACAUUGAAUCACAGGCCAAAAUAGGACCAUGUCUCCAUUCAUUCAUUCAUUCAACAAUUAUUUAUUGAGCGCAUGCUAUUUUUCAGGCACUGUGCCACAUAUUGAGAAUAGAGUAGUGAGUAAGACAAAGUCAUCACUUUAGGGAGUUUAUAUUUUAGAGGAGAGAAAGACAAAUGAAAGUGUUUAGGCUGGGCAUGGUGGCUCACACCUGUAAUCCCAGCACUUUGGGAGGUCAAGGCAGGUGGAUCACCUGAGCUCAGGAGUUCAAGACCAGCCUGGGCAACAAUCCCAUCUCUAACAAAAACAUAAAAAAUUAACCAGGUGUGGUAGCACAUGCCUGUGGUCUCAGCAACUUGGGAGGCUGAGGUGGAAGGAUCUCUUGAGCCUGGGAGGCAGAGGUUGCAGUGAGCUGAGGUUGUGACACUGGACUUCAACCUGAGUGACAGAUCCCAUCUCAAAAACAACCCUGGGCCGGGUGUGGUGGCUCACACCUGUAAUCCCAGCACUUUGGGAGGCCGAGGCAGGAAGAUCUUGAGGUCAGGAGAUUGAGACCAUCCUGGCUAACAUGGUGAAACCCCGUCUCUACUAAAAAUACAAAAAAUUAGCUGGGCAUGGUGGCGGUUGCCUAUAGUCCCAACUACUCGGGAGGCUGAGGCUGGAGAAUUGCUUGAACCCGGGAGGCAGAAGUAGCAGUGAGCCGAGAUUGCACCGCUGCACUCCAGCCUGGGCAACAGAGUGAGACUCCAUCUCAAAAGAAAAAAAAAAAAAAAACUCAGAACUAUUUAAUACAAUGUACUGGCAAGCGGUGAUGAGCACUAUGGAAACGUGAAGCAAUGUUUGAGUGCAGCGAGUGAAGCGGUGCUGUUUUGUUUGUGAUUGUCAUGAGGACCCCUCAGAAGAGCAGAGAGCUGAAUGCAGUGAGCAUAGAACCUUACUGAGGCCUGGGCAAGGCUCUUCCAGACAGCAAACUGCCCUGAGGCAGGACUGUGUUUGGCGUGUCCUGGAAACAGGAAAGAAGCCAGGGCCUCUGGAAUGUGGUGAAGGAGAGGGAAAAGUAGUAAAUGAGGCUGGAGAGAGAGGCAGGGGCCAGAACAUACAGGGCUGUGUAAGUCACAUUGAGUUCUUUAGAUUUUCCUGUAAGUGUGGAUGGGAAGCAGUUGGAGGGUUUUGAGGAGGGGUGGUGUGAUCUGACCCGCAUUUUAGAAUCAUCCCGUUGGCUGAAGUGUGGAGGAAAAAAGCAGGGGGCAGAAGUAGAGGUGAGGGGCAGCCAGUUAGGAGGCUACAGGAGUAGCCCAGACCAGACAGGAGGGUGGCUCGGCCCUCAGAGAUCUUGGUGGGGCAGAUUAGAGAGUGAUCAAGUUAGAGCUAACAGGACUUUUUUUUUUAGACUGGGUCUCGCUUGUUGCCCAGGCUGUAGUGCACUGGUGCAAUCAUGGCUCACUGCAGCCUUGACCUCCUGGAUCAAGGUAUCCUCCCACCUCUCAGCCUCCCAAGCAGCUGGGACUAUGGGUGCAUGCCACCACACCCAGCUAAUUUUUGUAUUUAUGGAGAUAUGGGUCUCACCAUGUUACCCAGGCUGGUCUUGAACUUCUGGGCUCAAGCCUUCUGCCUGCCCUGGCCUUCCAAAGCAUUGGAAUUACAGGCCUGAGCCACUGUGCUAGGCCAGAGCCAACAGGACUUACUGAGAAAUUAUCUGAGAGAGAGGGGUCAAGGAAGACUCCCCCUGUUCAACCAAGCAACGAGGUGAAUGGUGCUGCUGCUUCCUGAGAUGGGGAAGACUGUAGAGGAAACAAACCAGGAACGACAAAUCAGUAAUUUAGCUUUGAAUACAUUAGGUUUGAGAUGGCUAGUCUGUACCCAAACAGACCACACUGUGGCAUCUGGGCAGCAGGAUCUGCAGAAUCCAGCAGGAUGGAUGCUGAUGCCAAGCUGAGUAGACAGUUGGGUCUGUGAGUCUAAAGCUCAGGGAAGACCUCAGGGUCUGGGAUACAAAUCUGGAGAUCAUCACCCUGUCCAUGAAAGCCAAGGGAAUGAUGGAAGAUACUAUGAGAAAAAGUGAAGAGAGGAAAGAGAAGAGGUCCAUGGAAGGAGACCUGGGAGAAUCCAACCUUCGAUUAGAUCAGGAAGAGGAGAAGAAUCCAGUAAAAAACUCUGAGAAGUCUCUGGGAAGGAAGUCUUCCUUCCUUCCCCUGUACCAGGAGAGGUGCUAUCCCAGAAAUUAGUAAAGAAACAGUUUUUGAUGGGGAGAACAGGAUCACCUUUGUCAACUGCUGCUGCGAGACUUGGAAAAAUAAGGACUGGGAAGAGAGCAAUAGAAACUUUGAAAGCCAUUGGUUAUCUUGAUAAGAGUUGUUUCUGUGGGGGUGGUGAGAACUGGAGCCUGACUGGAUGGGUUCAAGAGAGAAUGGGGAGUUCUAGCCAAGAAGGCUGAUGAGGAUGAGUCAAAUUAAAAAUGUUUUCUUUUUAUGAGUCCUCUCAUAUUUACUGAUACAACUGAUAUAUUGGGUCUCCAUUCUGCCACAUUACUUUAUAUUGAUCAUGUAUUGUAUCUGCUAUGCAAUUGUAUUGCAUGUAUCUGCAUGGCAAUUGUAUUGCCAUGCAAUGUAUUUUUUUUUACUUUAAAAAUUAUAUUUAUAAAGGUUUGUAAUUUUAUUCCAGUGGUUAUUUUAUAUGUACACU
rnacentral:lncRNA from 1 species